rnacentral:rRNA from 1 species
UACGUAGGGACCUAGCGUUGUCCGGAAUCAUUGGGCGUAAAGCGCGCGUAGGCGGCCCGGUAAGUCCGUUGUAAAAGUCGAAGGCUCAACCUUCGAAAGCCGAUGGAUACUGCCGGGCUAGAGUACGGAAGAGGCGAGUAGAAUUCCUGGUGUAGCGGUGGAAUGCGCAGAUAUCAGGAGGAAUACCCAUAGCGAAGGCAGCUCGCUGGGACGGUACUGACGCUGAGACGCGAAAGCGUGGGGAGCGAACAGG